ACCGGGAAUAAAAGAGAAGACCGGUAGUUUCGCUCGUGACAAGGUCCACCUUGCAGUUCGAAACCACUGUCAUUCUACGGUUCUCCCGUAUUCUAUAAUUCUGCUACGCUCCAUUACCCUCCUCCAUUUUCCCCAAAGCUUCCUUUACACUGAUUGUUUCUAUUGACCCUCUUCCAUUAGGCAGAGGAAUCACACCUAUGCCUCCGGAAACUUCAACGAGCUCGGCUGGUGGUAAAGAGGGAUCAUCGGGUGCUUCUUCAAGAAGAAUUCCAAGAACCCAAAUAUUCUAAAUUUUCACAGCAAGAACUUCCUGCAUGGAAACCAAUUCUAACACCAGGAUGGGUCAUUUCUACAUUUGCUUUUACCGGAAUCAUUUUCAUUCCAAUUGGCCUCGCAUCAUUAUCUGCAUCAGAAA